CUUCGCUGCCCAGACACCACGUAUAGCGAACUAGAGGGCAGAAUUUACACCAAUACCCUUUUAGUCUAUUACACUAUCAAUAAUCUAGUGGCUGGAUUUACAACAGAGCACACUUAGUUAAGAUAGGGUGAAAUCUAGCAAACUAUAAUAUACAACAGAGUCUGCUUAGUUUCGCCGAUCUCCCCGACCUAGCAACCAAAAUUUACACCUAGCAUGCUAGUCAAAGCAG